rnacentral:rRNA from 1 species
GACGUAGGGCGCGAGCGUUGUCCGGAUUUAUUGGGCGUAAAGAGCUCGUAGGCGGCUUGUCGUCGGUCAACUGUCGAAACCCGUGGCUCAACCAUGUGGUCUGCAGUCGAUACGGGCAGGCUAGAAUUCGGUAGGGGAGACGUGGAAAUUCCUGGUGUAGCGGUGAAAUGCGCAGAUAUCAGGAGGAACACCGGUGGCGAAGGCGGGUCUCUGGGCCGAUAUUGACGCUGAGGAGCGAAAGCGUGGGGAGCGAACAGG